GCCAGGCGUGGUGGCGCAUGCCUGUAGUCCCAGCUACUCAGGAGGCUGAGGCAGGAGAAUCAUUUGAACCCAGGAGGCAGAGGUUCCAGUGAGCCGAGAUCUUGCCACUGCUCUCCAGCCUGGGUGACAGAGUGAGACUCUGUCUCAA
ensembl:misc_RNA Metazoa_SRP Metazoan signal recognition particle RNA